GUCCCUGUAGAGCAAUGGAUAGCGCACUGGACUUCUAAUCCAAAGUUCGUGGUUUCGAAUCCCAUCUGGGAUG
rnacentral:tRNA from 1 species